UAGGGCAUGAAAGGGAAAAUAUUAGCUAAUGUCGUCUUAUCAAGGAUGAUAAGCUAUAUCUGUUGCUAGAAGAAUGACCAAAAGACCAGUUGAGGUGGAUGAAUCUCCAGUCCAUUUGCUUGGUUCUACAAAUGAGGCAGAGAAUGGGAUUAAGAAACCAGAAUGCUGCGAAAAAAUCUAGGUCCAGAAUGCUAUUUGGAAAGGAAAAUGUCAAGGAAAGUAUUUCAAUGGAGCCAUCUCAGUCUUAAGAAUCUCUCUGCUUGCUCCUAUCUUCUGCAAGAUCAAUCCUUCAAUAUGUGUGAUCAGCAAAUUCACUUUGCACAACUUUGA